GACCGGCAAACGGGUGCGGAACACGUACACAACCUUCCUUCGAGUGGGGAAUAGCCCGGGGAAACCCGGAUUAAUACCCCGUAACAUGAUGAAGUGGCAUCACUUUAUUAUUAUAGCUCCGGCGCUUGAAGAUGGGUGUGCGACUGAUUAGGCAGUUGGCGGGGUAACGGCCCACCAAACCUACGAUCAGUAACUGGUGUGAGAGCACGACCAGUCACACGGGCACUGAGACACGGGCCCGACUCCUACGGGAGGCAGCAGUAAGGAAUAUUGGUCAAUGGACGCAAGUCUGAACCAGCCAUGCCGCGUGGAGGAUGAAGGCCCUCUGGGUUGUAAACUUCUUUUAUCUGGGACGAAAAAGGGACUUUCUAGUUCAACUGACGGUACCAGAGGAAUAAGCACCGGCUAACUCCGUGCCAGCAGCCGCGGUAAUACGGAGGGUGCAAGCGUUAUCCGGAUUCACUGGGUUUAAAGGGUGCGUAGGUGGGUUGGUAAGUCAGUGGUGAAAUCUCCAGGCUUAACUUGGAAACUGCCAUUGAUACUAUUAAUCUUGAAUACCGUGGAGGUCAGCGGAAUAUGUCAUGUAGCGGUGAAAUGCUUAGAUAUGACAUAGAACACCAAUUGCGAAGGCAGCUGGCUACACGAAUAU
rnacentral:rRNA from 1 species